rnacentral:rRNA from 1 species
AGCAGCCGCGGUAAUUCCAGCUCCAAUAGCGUAUAUUAAAGUUGUUGCAGUUAAAAAGCUCGUAGUUGAAUUUCGGGAUCAAUUUAUCGGUCGUGCCUAUGGUAUGAACUGGUACAAUUGGUUUCUCCCUUCUGACGAAGCAUGAUGUCAUUAAUUUGGUGUCGUGGGGAAUCAGGACUGUUACUUUGAAAAAAUUAGAGUGUUUAAAGCAAGCAUUAGCUUGAAUACAUUAGCAUGGAAUAAUGAAAUAGGACGUUUGAUCCUAUUUCGUUGGUUUCUAGGAUCGACGUAAUGAUUAAUAGGGAUAGUUGGGGGCAUUAGUAUUCAAUUGUCAGAGGUGAAAUUCUUGGAUUUAUUGAAGACUAACUACUGCGAAAGCAUUUGCCAAGGAUGUUUUCAUUAAUCAAGAACGAAAGUUAGGGGAUCGAAGACGAUCAGAUACCGUCGUAGUCUUAACCACAAACUAUGCCGACUAGGGAUCGGAUGAUGUUAAUUUUUUAAUGACUCA